rnacentral:lncRNA from 1 species
UAAUUGCCCAAAACCUUCAUCCCAAUUCUUAACCCUCUUCAAAGCACCACACACGCACACACACACACACACACACACACACACACACACACACACACACACACACGCACACACUCGCGCGCGCGCGCGCGCGCGCCACAAUACAAAUUAUCACAGAGAUAGCAUAGUGACCUCCAGAAACCCCGGGCUCUGUGUCUGGAGGCUCUGGGGAAAGGUGAGGGGAAGGAGUCAGAAAAUAAAAAGGGGAAACACUGAACUCCAGAUAGUGGACAAGAAAGGACCCCAAUGAACCCGCUUUGAGAUCCUCUACAUCUACUGGGAAGGGGAGGGGCAGAGCCUUCGUCCAGCCCUGAAUCAAGUCCCCGUUGGAGAGAGAUUCGGGACCCACAGCUCCUAGCCCUAGUCCCUAGACCGAGCUCAGGAGCCAGUCCGCCCCUCGCCGCCUCCCGGACAAAAUGUCAAGUACAAGUUCAAGUUCAGGGCCGUGCCCUGGGGGGCGCAACUCUUUCCCGUCACCGCCUUUUGUUCUUCCUCUGACAAUCGCUCUUUAUUCCCCCUCCGGGGCUGGGCCUGUCUUCUAGCUGCCGCCAGCAAACUCCCCCUGACCCACAGGGGCCAGCGGUGAGACGUUCUUGCAGUCUGGGCUCCUCCUCAGUCGCAGGGGAACUAAGACUUUGGGGGACUAGGAGUGGCUACCAGAAGCCCUUGGGAGAGUUUUACUCUCCUUCCUAUUUCCUCCUCCCAGUUCAAUUCGGGGCAAACUUUCUGUUCAAUCUUGGAGUUCCUUCCCACAAGUUUGGUCGCUUGAGUUCGUUCUCAGCUUGCCUUUACCUUGGAUCUUCAGCUAGACAUGAGUCUUCAAACCAAGAACUUCAAAUUCAAUGGCAGAGCUUGGCAUUGUGUGUCUAACUGGUCCUCUUUGCUGUAACCAAAAAUAUCCAAUGGCUUCAGGAGUGGAGGCAGAGGAAGAGGAAAGGUCUAUUUAAGGAAGUGUCAGAGCAUUCACUAGUCAUUCAGAUAAAUGAAGAUAGCUAUUGUAUGCAAAAGAAAAUAGAUUUAUUUUGCUUCAUUCCAGAAAUUAGGACUAGGACCAAAUAGCCAAAACUCUUAAGCAAGAACUCAAAUACAAUUCAUUUCUGGGAGUCUCAGGGGUAAAGGAAUGAGGUAGUCACAACAGGGAAUCAUCUUCAUAACUGUUGUCUCAGCAUCCUCAGGAGACAGAGAAACAUGUAUGCUGUGGAACUCCAGAGUCUGGUGUGGUGGGUCACAGAAGAACCCAGGAUUUGUGAUUACAAGGAUAUUGGAUCAGAUGUUCUCUAAAUUACCUUCCAGCACUGAAUCUUAUGAAAUUUUAAAAAAAAAUUAUUUUUAUUUUGCACUUAAAUACCAAACAAAAUGGGCAUUUUUAUAUACCUAAUAGAACAAAAGAGGUGAUUGUAUACGAAACCUUAAAUCUCUGUUAUGUACAGCUUGCUUUUUAAAAGUAUAAAAUAAAUUCAACUUGUAGCUUUCA